UGGGGAAUAUUGGACAAUGGGCGCAAGCCUGAUCCAGCCAUGCCGCGUGAGUGAUGAAGGCCCUAGGGUUGUAAAGCUCUUUCGCCAGGGGACGAUAAUGACGGUACCUGGAUAAGAAGCCCCGGCUAACUUCGUGCCAGCAGCCGCGGUAAUACGAAGGGGGCUAGCGUUGUUCGGAAUCACUGGGCGUAAAGCGCACGUAGGCGGAUCUUUAAGUCAGGGGUGAAAUCCCGAGGCUCAACCUCGGAACUGCCUUUGAUACUGGAGGUCUCGAGUCCGGGAGAGGUGAGUGGAACUGCGAGUGUAGAGGUGAAAUUCGUAGAUAUUCGCAAGAACACCAGUGGCGAAGGCGGCUCACUGGCCCGGUACUGACGCUGAGG
rnacentral:rRNA from 1 species